rnacentral:lncRNA from 1 species
AAGGUUGCAGAUGGAAUUAAGGCUGCUAACCAGCUGACCUUAAAAUAGAGAAAUUAUCUUGGAUUACCCAGAUGAGCCCAGUGUAAUCAGAGGCUUGUUAAAAGCAGCAGAGAGAGGAAGAGGAGAGUAGGUCAGACUGAUGCAAAGUGAGAAGGAUUUAGCCCAAUGUUGCUGCCUUUGAAGAUGGAGAAAGGGAGCCGUGAGCCAAGGAAUGCAGGCCACUUCUAGAAGCUGGAAAAGGCAAGGAAACAGAUGCUCAGCUGGAGCCUCCAGAAGGAACGCAGCUCCAACAACACCUGGAUUUUAGCUACCAGGUCAGGAGCUGCCCUGUGGAGAGGCCUCUGUGAAGAAACUGAGGCCUCUGUCCAACAGACCAUGAGGAACUGAAGCCUGCCAACAACCACACAGGUGGACUUGAGAGCAGACCCUCCCCGCUGCUGAGCCAUCAGAUGAGACUGCAGCCCCAGCUGACACCCUGAUUGCAGCCUCAUGAGAGACCCUGAGCUAGAAGACCCAGCUAAGUCAUGGCCAGAUUCCUGAUGCCUGGAAACUGUGAGAUACUAAAUGUCGUUGUUUUGAGCCACUAAGCUUUGGGGUAAUGUGUUACAUGAUAAAGAACUAAUACACACCACUCACCUGAGGCAAUCUGAUAUUUGACGCACUGUCUUCCUAGGCUUGGUUAUAUGCUAACAAAUAGCUAAAUCCUCAGAGGAGGUGCCUUUGAGUAGAAAUUUCAAGAAGAGUUCGGACUGUAUAAAUCAUACAACUAAACUUGUCCUUAAAGCUCACUUAAUCCAACUCUUUCACUUUUCAGUGGAGGAAACCGAGGAAUUGAGACUUCCCCAGUGCCCCUUGGCCGUUUGGGUCAGGCCAGCACUAGAAUCUAGUUUUCUUUCCCAUCCAAAAUUCUUUACAUUGCUUCACCCUCACUUCUUUUGCUAUUUAAGGUAGGAAAAAUGCCUUCUUGGGUUUUUCUCACUACUGUGUGUUGUAUAAAUAGCCUGACCAUGUUCUGAAGUGCUGACUACCUGCUGCACAAACAGAAGCCAACAGCCAUUGGCCCAUGAAGAUCGCAUUGAAGAGAAAUUGCUCAAUGUCCCCGUAUUCCCUUUGUUCUCCACCUUCCGCCUCAGCAGCAAGAAAUGGCUAAUGGAAUUUCCAAGAAGUGGAAUUAGUAAGAGCCCUGGACAAUGGGUUACCUGGAUGCCUUAUACAUAGGAAAUCGUAAGCAGCUCACUCACAGACAAGAGGAAGGAGUUAGUUAUAAGAGCUGGAUUAGAUAGCUUAUCAGCCAGAGAAUUGCAGAUAUUUUGUGGCUCCUGGGAUGUGGAAGGUGAUUCAGAAAAUAAAGAAGAAUUUUUCAGGGUCCCAAGGAAUCCUCAAAAGAAGAAAACAGAGCACUCUUUGCAGAAUGCAUUCAAAAACAACUUACCAAACAACUUUUCUCCUUGAGCCUCAUCCAUAAGCUGUGAUGUUACACAGGCCCACUAGAGGUCAGCACUUACCCCAUCAAAAUUUUUUUAAAUGAGUUUCUACCUUUUUCAUCUAAAGACUAAUCCUCUUGAUAUAUUUUGUUUGCCAAACAAACCAAACUUACUAAGAAAUAAUCAACUUGAGUUUCCAAUUUUUGUUUACAAAAGGAACAAAUAACAGCUAUCCUACAUUUCAGAUCACUCUGGAUAACCAGCGUUAAAAAAUUCCAGCACCCCAAAAAACGUUGUUAGUCAGCUUUCUCACAGGCAAAUAUAAAAUAUCCAUUGGAUUCUUGAAAAGUAAAAUGAAAUUCAAAAAGAAGGGAAAAAGGGAGGGAGGAAAGGAAAAAACUAAGGGAAGGAGAGAGAGACAGAAGAAAUCUGAGACCUGUUAUGGCCUCUCUCUCAGUUCCCUCGGGAUCCAGAGGCCCUGGUUUUGAGAAACACCAAUUGUAGCCAGAGGCGUCCAGCUGAGACAGGAGCCAGCCUAACCGAGACAAGGCCAUCUGCAAGGCCCCUGGCCUAAGGAGAUAAGGCCCCUAACCAAUCCGCAAGCUAGGAGAAUCAGAUAGAGACCCCCAAGAUCCACAUUCAGCAAGCUCAAGACAGUCCUUGGCUUUUGCACAUGUGCCCCACCACCCAGGCGUUGACUGAAGGUGACUCUAGCCCCAUUAGCAUAGUAAAAACCACACCCAGGGGUGGAGAGCUAGCAUGCCAAUGACACAUGCGUCGCUUGUAGUAGCAUGCUACCACAAUGCAGGCGCAAGCACAGCCCCACUUCCACAUGCCCUGACAAGGCCCUCCUCCCCAGCCUUUGCCUAAUAAGAGCCCCACAGUCCCGCUCCCUAAGGAGCUGGUCACCUGCCGGCUUCCUUUCUGCACCAGCUCCCUUUUGCCUCCCCUGUGCACAAGCUAAUAAACUUUUAUUUUCCACGCUC